GACGAACGCUGGCGGCGUGCCUAAUACAUGCAAGUCGAGCGAAGUUUUUCUGGUGCUUGCACCGGAAAAACUUAGCGGCGCACGGGUGAGUCACACGUAAAGGACCUGCCUCAUAGACUGGGACAACUAUUGGAAACGAUAGCUAAUACCGGAUAAUAGCAUUAACUGCAUGGUUGAUGUUUAAAAGUUGGUUUUGCUAACACUAUGAGAUGGCCUUGCGGUGCAUUAGCUAGUUGGUGGGGUAAAGGCCUACCAAGGCGACGAUGCAUAGCCGACCUGAGAGGGUGAUCGGCCACACUGGGACUGAGACACGGCCCAGACUCCUACGGGAGGCAGCAGUAGGGAAUCUUCCGCAAUGGGCGAAAGCCUGACGGAGCAACGCCGCGUGAGUGAAGAAGGAUUUCGGUUCGUAAAGCUCUGUUGUUAGGGAAGAAUGAGUGUGUAGUAACUAUACACAGUAGAGACGGUACCUAACCAGAAAGCCACGGCUAACUACGUG
rnacentral:rRNA from 1 species